AGCGAACGCUGGCGGCAGGCUUAACGCAUGCAAGUCGAACGCCCCGCAAGGGGAGUGGCAGACGGGUGAGUAACACGUGGGAACGUACCCUUUGGUUCGGAAUAACUUGGGGAAACUCAAGCUAAUACCGGAUAAGCCCUUAUGGGGAAAGGUUUACUGCCGAAGGAUCGGCCCGCGUCUGAUUAGCUAGUUGGUGAGGUAAUGGCUCACCAAGGCGACGAUCAGUAGCUGGUCUGAGAGGAUGAUCAGCCACACUGGGACUGAGACACGGCCCAGACUCCUACGGGAGGCAGCAGUGGGGAAUAUUGGACAAUGGGGGCAACCCUGAUCCAGCCAUGCCGCGUGAGUGAUGAAGGCCUUAGGGUUGUAAAGCUCUUUUACCCGGGACGAUAAUGACUGUACCGGGAGAAUAAGCCCCGGCCAACUUCGUGCCAGCCGCCGCAGUAA
rnacentral:rRNA from 1 species